rnacentral:rRNA from 1 species
UAGGGAAUAUUGGGCAAUGGGCGAGAGCCUGACCCAGCCAUGCCGCGUGCCGGAUGAAGGCCUUCUGGGUUGUAAACGGCUUUUCUCAGGGAAGAAAAAGCCCAUGCGUGGGACACUGACGGUACCUGAGGAAUAAGCACCGGCUAACUCCGUGCCAGCAGCCGCGGUAAUACGGAGGGUGCAAGCGUUGUCCGGAUUUAUUGGGUUUAAAGGGUGCGUAGGUGGCUUGUUAAGUCCGGGGUGAAAGCCCACAGCUCAACUGUGGAACUGCCCUGGAUACUGGCGAGCUUGAGUCCAGACGAGGUUGGCGGAAUGGAUGCUGUAGCGGUGAAAUGCAUAGAUAGCAUCCAGAACCCCGAUUGCGUAGGCAGCUGACUAGGCUGGUACUGACACUGAGGCACGAAAGCGUGGGGAGCGAACAG